GUCUAAAUUCUGAAAUCUCUUCGUUUCUAUUUCCAUAGCAUAUUCCCAUAAAUCCAAUACUUAACUCAUGGAUUUAGUAGAAAUCUUUUUGUGUAACACAUCAAUAAUCAAAGCUACCGUCUUGAUUCUGUUAGAAUUAGCUCUUAGCCCCCUUGAAACCAAAUUAAUAUCCAAAUUUGUUGAAAGCAAACUAUGAAUUUGAAAUACAAGUUUAGAAAGAGGAAGUAUUAAUAUUCUGAAUUCCGCCAAAUAGUAGAAAGAAAAAAAAAUUGUAACAUCGAUUUUUUUAAUUUUAUUGUCAUAAAUAUUUAUACCACCACUACAUAAAAUGAUUCAGUUUAGGCAGCACUACAAAACCCUAGCUUGAAUCCAAAAUUAAAAUUCAAUCUCAGUAAAAAAUGGGGAGGAUUCCACAGGCUUUCAAGAGGGUCGCCGCUCAAUCGCCGGUUUCCACUCUCCUCAAGGCUAAAACCUCUUCCGCUUUGCAAAAAGAGAAGAAGAAUUUUCCCCAGAAAAAUCCCCUCGCCACACCAAAAUCAACACUCCCUUCCCUCUUCUCCGAGUCUGCAAAUCUCUCCGACGCCAAAUCCCUUUUCAAUUCCUUCAUUUCCUCCACCACCGACGCCCCUUCCGACCCCAGCUUCUACAAUUCGAUCCUGCAAUCAUUCUCCUCCGUCUCAUCGCUCCAAGAUUCGAUCUUUUUCCUCAAUCACAUGGUGAAGCAGCACCCCCCUUUCUGCCCCAACCGUUUCACCUAUCACACGCUUCUCAAGCAGGCUUGCUCCUCCGCAGAUGACCCGUCUCUCUCCGGCGCACACAAUGUGCUCAACCUCAUGACAAGCAGCGGCUUCCCCCCCAAUCAUGUCUCCACAGACGUCGCCGCGAGGGCCCUCUGCGAGUGCGGACGAGAAGAGGACGCUGUCGAGCUCGUGAAGGAGCUCUCGACGAAGAAUUCGCUGCCCGACGCCUACACUUACAAUUUCAUGGUGAGGCAUUUGGUGAAGAAGAGGUCUGUGAGUUCUGCGAACUCGUUUAUAACUGAUAUGAAAGGGUUUGGGAUAAAUCCGGACCUUGUUACGUAUACUAUUAUGAUUGAUAAUGUGUGUAACACCAAGAAUUUGAGGGAGGCGAUGAGGUUGUUGAGAGUGUUGAGUGAGGAAGGGUUCAAGCCCGAUUGCUACGUGUACAAUACGAUUAUGAAGGGCUAUGCGCAUUUGAGUCAAGGCGGGGAUGUGUUGGGAGUGUAUAAGCGAAUGUUGGACGAGGAGGUUGUGCCGGAUCAUGUUACUUACAACACUUUGAUAUUUGGAUUGUCGAAAUCGGGUGGGGUUAAGGACGCUAAGAAGUUUCUGCAAGUGAUGGCUGAGAAAGGGCAUACCCCAGAUGCCAUUACUUAUACUUCGUUGAUGAAUGGAAUGUGCAGAGAAGGAGAUGCUUUGGGGGCAUUAGCGUUGUUGGGGGAGAUGGAACGGAAGGGGUGUAGUCCAAAUUCGUGUACGUAUAACACCUUGCUUCUUGGAUUGUGUAAGGGUCGACAGGUGAAUGAAGGAGUUAAGUUGUAUGGAAUGAUGAAGAAAUGCGAGAUAAAGCUGGAAACUGGGUCGUACGGGACGCUCUUAAGAGCAUUAUGCAGGCAGGGCAGAGUUGCUGAAGCUUAUGAGGUUUUUGACUAUGCUAUUGAGAGCAAAAGCAUACCAGAUGUUGCGGUUUAUUCGACGUUGGAAAGCACUCUUAAGUGGUUGAAGAAAGCCACAGAGCAAGGCCUUGUUGUUUGACAAAAGCUGCUGGUACUCUUUUUUUUAGUGUCCAUUCGAUAUCAACAAUAUUUUAACUUUGUGCAGAAAGGCACGUGAUACAUGUUCAGAGCAGCUUCUUAGAUACUCCGGUAUAGUUCAGACAAUGCUCAUAAGAUCACAUGCUUGCUGUCUCUUGCUGCUGUAGUGGAGUAAUAAGCUAUGAAUUGCUCCAUAUUGGGCUGCAGAAAUGUCAUAGUAGAGUUGUUUCUUGAAAGGUAGCCAUGAUUUAUAAAUCAAAUUGUCUCGAUUGGAUUCUUUGUAUAGGGAUAAGCUUUCUUUUACUAUUCAAAGAAGUUAAAUGCAUUUGCCUAUCUCUAACCAUACAGUUGGAACUUUUCUGACCUUCAAACACAUGCCAAUGUCUCCUCUGCUCAUUAGCAGACAUUUUUUGAGGUUACUGAUUUGAGUUUGUGGUAAUGAAUGUUUUUGUCCUUAAACAAAAA